CUGAGCCGCCGUGCGCGGGGCUGAACGUUGGGAGCCGGCGGUUGGAGGCGCGGCUCUCCUCACACAGCGUCGCUGCCGCAGCCUGGGCCGCCCCGCAGGAGACCGCGGCGGCAGCCGGAGCUGUCCGGGCAGCACCGAGAGGGAAGCCGCGGCACCACGGGAGCGAGUGCUGAGGACAGCUGUGCCGGAGCAGUACAGUGUUUCAGAAGAGAGAAAAGCAUGGUGGGCAUCAACUGGAUUUCUGUGCUUGGUAAAGCUGCGCUGAGAACUGGGCUGACUCUUGCACCUGGAAAUGCGUGCAACGUCUGCAGACACAGAGGCAUAACUUUUCCCUGCAGGUUGAGCUUGUCUAAGGGUGGUGAUUGCUGGGUGAGCUUCUGCUUUAAAGCAUCAGGUUGUACAAAGAAGGAACUGUACUGCGUUCAGUUCUGGGUCCCUCACUGCACGAAGGACACUGAAACCCUGACAUGUGUCCAGAGAGGAGCAGGGAAGCUGUGGGGGUCCAGAGCACCAGUCUUACGGGGAGCGGCUGAGGGAACUGGGAUUAUUUAGCCUGGAGAAGAGGAGGCUCAGGGAAGGCCUUCUCACACUCUGCAGUUGGCUGCAGAGAGGUGAUGUCGAGGUGGGGUCGUCCUCUUCUCCCGUGUAAGCAGUGAUAGACUGGAGGGAAGGCCUCAAGUGGCACGAGGGGAGAUUCAGGUCGGAUGUGAAGAAAAACGUCUCCACAGGAGCGGUCAGACACUGGAACGGGCUGCCCAGGGAGGUGACAUUGUUACUGUCCCUGCAGGUGUUCAAGGAGCAUUGGGUGUUGUACCGAGCGACGCGGCUCAGCGGGAAAUGGUGGUGGUAGGUGGGUGGUUGGACUGGAUGAUCUUGGAGAUCUUUUCCAGCCUUGCUAAUUCUACGGUUCUAUGAAAGGCAUGUGCUGGGCGAGUGCUUUGCUGGGUGAGCAGGCAGCUGCUGCCACAUCCACGGGGAUGGGAGGCUUUUUAACCUGAGCCUUGUCUUUGGUGUCUGGUGCCCAGUAAGUCGUGUUGUUUUAAAGCAGCGUCUCGAUUUCUGCAGCCACCAGAGCUCUCCCUCAUGCUCUUCCCUGUGACGUGAGACCGCGUCGAAGGCCUUGCAGACGUCUGGCUCCUCUUUAGAUAUCGAAAGGCUGUUACCAGGUCACCUCGGAGCCUUCGCUCCUCCACGCUGAACAGCCCCAGCUCUCUCAGCCUGUCCUUGGAGGAGAGGGGUUUGAUCCUUUGGUUCUUUGAUUUUUGGGACCGUCCUCUGGAUGUGCUCCAACGGGUCCGUGUCCCUUCUGCCCUGAGGACUCUUCGUAUGGACACAGCGCUCCAGCUCGGUGUCGUCAGCAAAUUCUCUGAGGGUGCGCCCGACCCGCCGGUGCUGUCACUGAUGCAGAUAUUGAAGAGUCUCAGCCCCAGCUCGGUGCUCUUUCCCAGCACAGAGGGACUUCACCUGAUUGCCAUGACUUCUCAAAUACCGCUGAGAGUGG